UACGGAGGGGGCAAGCGUUAUUCGGAAUUAUUGGGCGUAAAGGGCACGUAGGUGGCCCGGCAAGUCUUAGGUGAAAUCCCUCGGCUCAACCGAGGAACUGCCUUGGAUACUGCCGAGCUUGAGGCCGGGAGGGGGUAGCGGAAUUCCCAGUGUAGCGGUGAAAUGCGUAGAUAUUGGGAGGAACACCGGUGGCGAAGGCGGCUACCUGGACCGGUUCUGACACUGAGGUGCGAAAGCGUGGGGAGCAAACAGG
rnacentral:misc_RNA from 1 species